AUUUAACAAUCAAUUUUAUAUUUACAUUAAUUAUCUUAUUCUACUUUUCUAUUUUAAAGUACGACUAAGAAUAAAAUAAAAUAAUUAUGUUUUAAAAAACCUCUGUAAUAGACAUCGCAAGGUUAAUCCGACCGUCCAUGCGCUAUUCGUAUCAACUGUACUACGACCGGUCUGAGCUGACGUCACGGAAUAAUCUGGAACUGGCGCGAGCGCUGCCCCGCCGCGCCGCCCAGUCAUCAGUCCGCGCCAGCCGCCAAACGUUACGCACGUACGUACCGUCGCGCACACGGGCCAGCCCGUGUCGUCUCGCGCGCUGUACAAAUUAUAAUUUUAAUUAUUUUCUGGUGGGCGCGGACACCUGCAAAUUUAUUUAAUUUAAAUAUAUUCGGCGACGUAAUCGCGAAAUAACGAGUUCCCGCACCCACGUACUGGGUGCGCCGUUAUUUUUAAAAAAGAAGACCGUUCGGCCGACGUGUCACACCGUCACCAGCAUCCACACACACAACAUCCAGACGGCUGGGUUGGAGCCUGAGUCGUUCGCCCGCCGUCGCCCCUGCUCCUCUUCAGCGCUGGUCCCCACACCUGCUGCGGACCACCGUCAUAACCACCAGCCAGGGCAGUACCGCUCCGCGGUGGCAAAUUUUAGACCCGGGCCUUGACCACCCACGACCCUAUUUCAAAUUUUAGUUUUUAUUUAAUAAAUUAUUUUUGUUAACGUA